AAAUGCAAAUUUUUUAGGUUCAAAAUGCAGUUGAAACAUUUUUAUUAAAGCAUGAAUUUAGGCGCUGUCCGGAAUGGAACACACAGAACCAAGCAAACAAGUAUAAAGCGAUUUUGUUGUUUCAUUUGAAUUUGAGUAGACUUUAGUUUGAAUUUAGUAAAUGCCCCGCCUCAACCCCGCACGAACCGCCACCAAAACCACCAGCAGACAAUGCAGAAGAAUCAGCACGAAAUUUGAUCAGUUUUGAAUAUACGUUAUAGAAAAGUGAAUUUGAAUGAGCAUAUUAUUUGUGGAAUAGGAUAGAUGGAGAUCGCAAGUAAGAGAGAGUGGAGAAUAUUCUUUGCUAGUUUUUAGUUUCUUUUUAGUUAUGUAACGAGUCAGUUGUAGUAACGCUUUGUUUUCUAUAGAUACCCUCUACGCAUAUGUAUAUGUACAUACAAAACAAAUCGAUAACUAACUAUACAUACGAGUAUAUAUAUAUAUAGAUACGAUACGAUACGAUACGAUACACCUAGAAGAACCCUGUCUAUAGGCGAUAGAACCCUACUGUAUCCUACGUUUAGACGAUUAAUUUAAAUAAAUUGAAUUGUUUUCUAAUUUUACGCCUUGCAACACUUAAGUAAAAACGAAAUGGAAUUUAAUUUUUACAAAAAAGAAAGAUCGAGAGACGAGAAGAGAGAGAUGGCAGAUAAACAACAUAAAUACAUAUACCAGGAGACCCUUUGAUUUGAAUGGAAUUUGUUUGAGAUCAUUUUCAUUGUGUGCGGAGUUUGUAGUAUUAUUUUCCAACUGAAGCACAUGGACCGAUUUGAAUAUAUAUAUGUACCAUAUGUGUAUAUGUAUGGAUUUUAUGCAAGAUACGACUAAAGCGAUACAAAUAAUGGCAUAGGCAUAUACAUAUGUAGCUCUGAAUAUGUAUACGUAAAUAUUAAUAAUAACUUAUGAUUACGUUUACACUGUACUUUUAUUUAUGUAUUCUAAUUUGUAUGCGUUAAUCCUUAGUUAACUAUUAUUAUUAUUACAAUUACUUAAUUAAUGAUUUAAAUUUAACUAAUUCAAGCAAUGAGAGGAGGAACAAAGCAUUGUACAAGCGAGGAUUUAUUGAUGAAAACAAAAUGCAUAUAUGAGAAAAUAUUUGAAAAAAUAACAUUUUGUGUUUGUGUUUUUAUUUGCUUUUGGUUUGCAUUGGUUUGGUUUGCCACUCAAAUUAUUUUACAGCGGGGCAAGGACUCUUAUCAUUUCGUUUGCAACACACUGAGGAGACAUUCUCCAAGAGAAUGCAACUCUAACUCUAACCUACACAAAUAUGAUUUGUUUCUUUUUGGUGUAGUACACAACUGGAUCACCGACACAUGCUAAGGAACUGAAUUGAAUUUACAUUGCUUGUGAAUCUGAUUAAUCUUAAAUGGUAACGAAUAUACGUAAAUGCAGAGGGCAACAAAUCGAAAUUUAAGUAAUUUAUUUGGAAUUUAUUGAAUAUGAACGAAGAACCGAUUGAGGAACGUGUGGAAAAGCGAGUACCUUUUUUUGGCCUGCUCUUUGAAUGAAACUCGAGCUUCUUUUGCAUGGGAACCCAUCAUUUGUUUAGCACACUCACAUCUAGGCACACUCAUCCAACAUCCAACCAAUUAUCACACUCGAAACAAUCACUCAAAAUGUAUACGAACUUCUCUAAGAAUUCCCAAAGAAUGAAAAUCUUUAUGCGAACUUUUUGCACCCAUCACGUGAAGCGAUAAAUUUAUUUACAAAAUUUGCUAAGCCGCAAAAUCAGUAAUUGAGAAUUUCGAACAGCAAAUCGAACAUUUUCCCAAUAUACAACAGAUACGAUAUACGAGUACUAGUAAUUUAUUAGACUAUACAUAUAAAUAUAUAAAGAGUAGUUAAAUAAUCGACACAAUUGACUUCAGAACGUUUAAACGCAAACUGUACAGAACGCCUUAAAUGAGAAACCCAAAGUGGAAGCAUUGAAUGAAUGAAUGAUGUAUACGAGUCUACAUGGAGAACAUAAACAUAGCUAUACAGUAACUAAAUUUUAAUAAAUCUCGACUAGUAUAUAUCUAUACAUAUAUCAUACGCAUUAUCGCAUAAGAAAACGAACCAAAUGUGGUCGAACCAAAGAGAGGUGUGAACUUUCUCCGGACAGUCGCACCCUUGCGUUUUUUAGGGGGGUUGCGAGAGAGUCCCACACCUGAGCACUUCCAAGUAUUUUGUAUGAGCUUUUUGGUGUUUUCUACAUUCGACACUCAGGGUGAGCUCUCUCCCUCUGCCCCUCUCCUGAUCCCUAUGGGUUAGUUCGGGAAAAACACAUCGCUAUUCUGGUUCGACAAAAGCUUGUAAAUUGAAUCACUUGUAGAUGGAUGGAUAGUACGAUUCAUAUGGGGCGAAUGCAAUAUGUAAGCGUGUGUGUGUGUCAAGUCAGUGUUGAUUAAUGUCAGGCCGAUGUACGAUUUAUAAUACGCAUUGUAUAUGGAAACGAAACGAACUUGAAGAAGGCUUCUUAUGUUUGAACUAAUUUUUGUGUCAGAAUUUAAAUUAAAAUGUGAUUUUUCUCGAAACUUUAAUGUAUACGCCGUAAAUAUUAUAAAUAUGAUUAUUAAGUGCUACAGCAACAUUAUUAUUAUUAUUAAAUGAUUAUUAUAAACAUAGUCGCUGCACUCAAGAGUGUAAUGUAUGUAAUAAAUAUUGUACAUUUUUGACAAUUCCCAUUGAGAAUACUCUGUAAAUACUGCGCAACAUUUGCAUAGAUCACCCCCUCCCACUUAAAUCGUAAAUGGCCGAAGAAGCGCAGCCGAGCAAAUGCAACCCUGAGCAUAGACUAAAAAAAAUGCACAAGAAACCGAACGUAAAGAACGAACGAGACAACAAUUUAAACUUAAAACUUACCCACGCGACAGCAACAGUAAACCCAGAAGAAUGAAAGAGAUAGAAUCACUCUAUAUAGACACACGAUCGAGAGAGCAAGCGAGCGAGCGAGCGAGAUCGAGAGCGAGCGAGAGCGAGAGCGUGCGCCUGAUGCACCCAAGAGUUAGAAAGGGAGAGCUAGCUCUUGGUGGCAGGCAAAAAUAUAUAGUACAUAAAUCAAUG